rnacentral:rRNA from 1 species
GUGAGGAAUAUUGGUCAAUGGGCGAGAGCCUGAACCAGCCAAGUAGCGUGAAGGAUGACGGCCCUACGGGUUGUAAACUUCUUUUGUGCGGGAAUAAAGGAACCUACGUGUAGGUUUUUGCAUGUACCGUAACGAAUAAGCAUCGGCUAACUCCGUGCCAGCAGCCGCGGUAAUACGGAGGAUGCGAGCGUUAUCCGGAUUUAUUGGGUUUAAAGGGAGCGUAGACGGGUUUUUAAGUCAGCUGUGAAAGUUUGGGGCUCAACCUUAAAAUUGCAGUUGAAACUGGAGACCUUGAGUACGGUUGAGGCAGGCGGAAUUCGUGGUGUAGCGGUGAAAUGCUUAGAUAUCACGAAGAACCCCGAUUGCGAAGGCAGCCUGCUAAGCCGCCACUGACGUUGAGGCUCGAAAGUGCGGGUAUCAAACAGGAUUAGAAACCCUAGUAGUCC